rnacentral:rRNA from 1 species
ACAGCAGUCGCCGCGGGAAUACGUAGGUGGCAAGCGUUGUCCGGAAUUAUUGGGCGUAAAGCGCGCGCAGGCGGCCUAUCCAGUCUGUCUUAAAAGUUCGGGGCUCAACCCCGUGAUGGGAUGGAAACUAGUAGGCUAGAGUAUCGGAGAGGAAAGCGGAAUUCCUAGUGUAGCGGUGAAAUGCGUAGAUAUUAGGAAGAACACCAGUGGCGAAGGCGGCUUUCUGGACGAAAACUGUCGCUGAGGCGCGAAAGCUAGGGGAGCGAACGGGAUUAGAUACCCGUGUAGUCCCUGUCUCUUAUACA